rnacentral:lncRNA from 1 species
CUAGAGUGAUACAUGAAGUAUUCAGGACACUUCUGAGAAAAGAAGGGGAGAACCAAGAAAAAUCUCUGCUACUAAAGCAUGAAGACUAUGAACAUGAAGGGAGAUGACCUCAUCUGUAAGAGGAAGAGAAUUGGACUAAGAACAUCCAUGUCUUCAAUAGCAAGCAUCUGAGACCACUUCUUCCUGGAUAAGGAAAAACCAUUAUUUUAAACCUUCUCUUUCUUCACUUAUUGUAUGGAAAAUGUUAUUUGAAAUGAAUGGUAAAUAUCAUGUUAAUUCUUCCAUUAUCUUUUAAAAUAAUCAAUGGCAUAAACACUUGAAGCUUCAGUGUGUAUGUGUG